CCUGCGUUCUAUAGAGGCGAAGGUGGCGGCUAGAGCGACUCUUCAGCCCCGGCCGAGGUCUGGGUGUAGAGUGAGACCGGAAGCCAGUGGACGGUUUUAAUAACGGAGUGACCUUCUACAUUUUGGCUGUGGUAUGGAGAAUGAACUGUAGAUGGAAGAUAAUAGCUAACAUUUAUUAAGCACUUAUGUGCAGUAACACUUUAAAACAAAAUAUCUGAUAAAAUAAGUUGAAGAAACAGAUCUCUGCUGUCUUCUUGAAACUGAAAACAACUAAAACCAACAAGGACAACAGAAACAGAAAUGUAAACUCCAUCAUCAACAAACUACAUAACAUUUACAGAACUAAAAUGUAUGAAGAAGGGCUGCCUAGGGCAGUGAAAAUUACACUGACAAAGGUGAAUACAGACAGCACCUGCCACUGCAAAUUUUAAACAUGGCUGUCAGAGCAGAGUUUUCCAGAGGAAACAGAGAGAGCACACUCUGAGGGAUAAUAAAACUAACCUCCCCAUAUUUAAACAAACAUGUGAGGACUGGCUCUGCAGAUCAUGUGACCCUAGUCAGUAGCAAGGGAAUGGCAAGGAAGAUGAGGCUGAACAAAGAAACUCAAAGAUACAUCAUCUUUGUAAGAAGACAUCAAUCAGUCUGGCAAGAUGACAAGCUGUUUUGCAAUGACCAAUCUUUUUCAGUUGAAGAAGACUAAAUCAACCCAAUCGCUUAUUUAUAUACACGUAUACUUCUUUAUCAGGUAGGGCUUUGUUGUGAGUCAGGGAGACUGCCCACCAGUCCAGGGUAUUCAUAGGACAACUCAAGAUACAUGCUUGCUAUCUUUCUUUUCUAGCUCUUGUACAAUAUCCUUCCAAAUUAGGUUUUCCAAGAAAACUCCCCUUAUUCAAAUAAAAUUAACAAGCAAAACAGACAAAAGCAUAGGACUGAUUUUAAAAAACAGUGCCAAAAAAAGAGGGGAAAGAAUACAGUAAACAUAAAAUAGAUAAAAUGAAGAACAUGCACAAGAGGAUUUUGCCAUAAAGCAAAUUCAAAUUGUGACCAAAUAUCUUUCCAAGAAAUAAAAUAAUUUGAUUAAAAAUAAAGGCUCCUAUGAAAUAAGAGCUCAGUGAGAUAUAAAGCCUCAAGGAAAUGACAUACAAAGGCUCAAAGAAGUAGACAACAGAAGAUGAAAAAUGGGAUUGCAGAGAUCAGGAAAGCAAUAAAAAAGAAAACAAAAACCACCACAGAAACAAAGGCUACAAAAAUAGUCGUAGUAGUAUUAGAAAGGAGAUUAGACACUAACCCUACUGGAUUAACCCAUAAAUGUGAAUAAAAGCAGGCUGGCUUCAGACUUUCACACUGCAACAUCCAAUCCUAGAAACAAUGGGGCAAUGUUAUAAAUUCCUCAGGAAAAGAACGGGAGGUCCAAGAAUUUUAUGCUGAGUCAAACUGUCCUCCCAGUAGAAAGGGAAUAAAUUUGAUCAAACACACGAGAAGAGAGCAUAUGGCUCCCAUGAGCUGUGCUUUAUCAGCUUCUCAUGAAGCCCAGUAAAAGAGGGUAAAAAUCAGUUCUGGAGUUUUAAGAUACUUUAAUCCAACCCAGAAGAAAUAAGUAAUUUCCCUAAAACCAUAAUGUUAAAAAUAGUUUUCCUGAUGUCAUGCUGGCCCUGUCCUCAAAAUCUUCAGUUGGUAACAAGAGACCAGAAGAUGGAUAUAGAGAGGAAAAUAAUGAAUUUAGUCUUAAAAUUGAGAGAGAAGGAAACAAGAAAUAUGUCAGAUGAACACAUAAGUAAAUACAUCUGUAAUAAACGUGUGCAUUUCUACAUAAAUCGCCCUACCUGAGAACAGCCUCAUCAAGCUCUUGUGGCCUGUUAGUUGCACCCAUUACAAGCACUCUGUCAUCUCCAGCAGAUUGUACCUAUAAGCCAAAUUUUUUUUCAAUACUUUUAGAUAAAUAACAAAGAAAAACAUAAUAAAGAUAUCUAUUUCUAAUUUGGGCCAUUCAAUAGGAAAACACAUACUACCACAUAAAUGCUACCACAUUAAAAAUACCAUAAUACUUACACCAUCAAAUUCUAUUAGAAAUUCAGUUUUUAGACGUCUACUAGCAUCAUGUUCUCCUUCUCUUCUUUCACACAAAAGGCUAUCAACUUCAUCUAGAGGAAAUAAAAGGAUCUCUAGUUUACUACUUAGGUUAUUAAUA